AAUAGAUGAUGACAAGAUGUUUCGGUCCCAGAUGAUGUCCACUGAUAAAACUGUUAACAUUUUUCUGAUGUU
ensembl:snoRNA SNORD73 Small nucleolar RNA SNORD73